rnacentral:rRNA from 1 species
GACGAACGCUGGCGGCGUGCUUAACACAUGCAAGUCGAGCGGAAAGGCCACUUCGGUGGUACUCGAGCGGCGAACGGGUGAGUAACACGUGAGUAAUCUGCCCCUCACUUUGGGAUAGCCACCGGAAACGGUGAUUAAUACCGGAUAUGACCAUAUGUCGCAUGGCGUGUGGUGGAAAGUUUUUCGGUGAGGGAUGUGCUCGCGGCCUAUCAGCUUGAUGGUGAGGUAAUGGCUCACCAUGGCUUCGACGGGUAGCCGGCCUGAGAGGGUGACCGGUCACACUGGGACUGAGACACGGCCCAGACUCCUACGGGAGGCAGCAGUGGGGAAUAUUGGACAAUGGGCGGAAGCCUGAUCCAGCAACGCCGCGUGAGGGAUGACGGCCUUCGGGUUGUAAACCUCUUUCAGUGCCGACGAAGCGCAAGUGACGGUAGGUACAGAAGAAGCACCGGCCAACUACGUG